rfam:Gossypium raimondii Chr10_contig_183, whole genome shotgun sequence.
CUUUGUAUUCUUCCACAGCUUUCUUGAACUGCAACUUCGUCUUACUUUCCUUGUUAUUUUGUGUUGCUUAUAUAGGCGGUAUAUGGGUAUGUAUGUAUGUCGUUGCGGUUCAAUAAAGCUGUGGGAAGAUACGGACA